AAAGAUAUAAAGGACUCUAACCUAUAAAUUAACUUUGACAAAGUUAUGUAAUCAUUUUACUAAUAUCUU
rnacentral:tRNA from 1 species